CAAGACGACCGAGACGAAGAAAGGAGAGAGAAAGAGAGAGAGAGAGAGACGAUCGAGGGGAUUGUAAAAAAAUGACGGUGAUUAAGCUCUAUUUCGGGAGCAGCGCGGCUGCCAGUUCAGCGCGCGCAAGCUCGUAAAAUUUUCACGCUCAACUCGCGAGUCCCGGGGUAUAUCCGAUUUUUCGACCGAUAAGCGUCAUCCUUCCACGAUUACGAAUCGAGCCUUCGCCGUGUAUUUUUUCACAGUGCAAGCUUCGUAAUUGAACAAAAAAGUAACAAUAAUAAUAAUAAUAAUAAAACGAGGUAGAGCAGUUCUGCACACAUACACACAGGGGGCCACGCGUCUCGCGACGCCUAUAAGGCCUGGCCGCGCGCGCGAGUGAUCUAUUUCGGAAGCGAGCUCGGGAUUGGCCGAAGCCUCGAGCGUCCCGACGCCCAAUGGGCGGCUCCUGCCGAUCUCUGGCACGCGUCCCAACGGAUCGGAGGUCGGCUCGGUUUUCAUCUUCUCGCGCCCUCCCCACACUCGCUCGCUCGCGUGCUCUCGUUUUUUUUUUUCUUCUUCUUCGUCUUCUCGUCUGCGGGAUUUUUCGUUCCGCAGCUGCCGCCGCGCCGAUUUUUCCCGAAGAGAGACAUAGGCGAGUUUAGAGGAAAAAUUACGCAAGCUGCGUCGACUUUGACGAGCGUAGAGAAAAAAUCGGCGAUGCUCGGGCGGCUCGAUGAUUUCGAAGGAUGAUCAUCACCUCAGCUCGCGAGCGAGAGAUAUACGCGUAUAAUUGACGGCGUCGCCUUGGACACGCGGACCCGAAGGCCGCUGAUUUUCAAGGCGGAUGCCAAUUCCAUGUGGUUACGAAAUGCAGUAGCCGAACGAGAUGGAAGGUGUGAGCGAAAGAUAGAGAUGAUGCAGUACAGCGUCGUUGGGUGCGUAACUCGUAAUGAGAGAUCGAUGAUUGAGUUUCGUUGAAAAAUUUCGGCUUUCAAGUCGCGCAUACUGCAGCAGCGUCCUUAGGACAUGGGAAGAGAGAAGAGUAAAAAAAAAAAAACGAGUCGCUCUCAUCGCUAAUUUACAUGAAUGUCGAAUCCACAUCGGCCAUUUUUUAUAUACAUAUUAAUGCAAACGAGUAGGGAAAGAACAAAUAACCGCUACACGCAGAUUUCGCAAUUCAACAGGAUCGAGAGGCUUUAAUUGGCCGCAUAGAGAAAGCACCGGCUAUAUGUUUUCGUUGAUCUUGAAAAUUUUUUCUCGCCGGCGACCUGCACUCUCGGCAAUCCGAGCUUAUAAAUACUAUGACGACAGAGCCGUGACACUUUUCGGCGGAAUGACGUCAUUGGCGACCGGUUUCUCUGAAAAUUUAAGAUCAUCGAACGCGCGUGGUGUGUUGCAUAAUUGAAGAAUAUAAAGGAAAAAUCGCGAGAGAGACUUUUUUUUUAAUACGAAUAUGUAUCGACGCACGAUCGGUGAUAAACACGCCAGAGCCGCGUCUCGGAUUUUCAUUGAUAAGAGAGUCGAACCGAAAAAAAAAAACGAAAGAGAAGAAACUUCACUCGCAUUCCCUAAUCAAAUCCCGCCGCGUCUGUCAAAAAACGUCCUCUACUCGACAGCAGCAGCAACCCAUCGCGAGUGAGCAAACGUUAUCUCUACAGAGCGGCGCAUAUAAACGCGUUAUACCGCACUGCAGCAGUAGCAUCAGGCCAGGUAAAGUGGAAGAUGAAGAAUGACAGUGCAAGCGACGUGAUUGCAUUUCUCCCUCUCUGGCUCGCGAUCGCGGGAAAUUCGAACGAUCCAAUUAUACGUAUUAUAACGAACGACGACUGCUGCGACUAAUUCGCUUAGAUACACGCCACCGCGGCUCGGAAAUAGCGGCGCCGAGAGAGAGAGAGAGAGAGAGAGAGAGAGUAGCGCGAGCGAGCGAUCGGUCUCGCGGAAUUAUUUAGAAUCUGCCCAGGUGCUGCUGCUGCUGCUGCAAAGGUGAACGAUCCCGCAGACUUGCAUAAUAGGGGAAGCGCUUUUCACGGAUAUUCCCUCUCCGAUGCUAGUUUAUGUGUGCCUCGUGGGGUGGGUAAUUGAUAUGUGGUUACAGGGUAUUGAACCCCUGCAUACAGAGCUGAACGCGGUAUCAUGUGUGUUUUGGAGUGGAAGUUUUGAAAAUAAUAAUUUUGAAUUUCGCGCUCCAAGGAUAACAAAACAUCGUAUACUCCACAGCGUGUAAGACAGUCCAUAGAACCGAAAACUUGUUCACGUAGCGGCUCGUCGUGAAACAAGCGUUCCCCAUCAGCCUUUGCACGUGCGCGGGGCCGGUAUUACACUCGUUUUCUUUCCGCUGUGCGGCUCGGCUGCUGCAGAGAGAGAGAGAGCUGCGCUCUCAAAAGCAAGCGCGGAUCGGCACGUGCCACUCGAUAAAUCUGUCGCCGGCAGCUGACGUCGGGAGCAGCCGGCGAUUUUCUCUCUCUCUCUCUCUCUCUCUCUCUCUCCUUAGCUUUGCAGCCGUACGCACUCGUAUUUCCGAUUAUUCCUUCCUCUUGACGCUCUGAGUGAGAGAGAGAGAGAGAGAGAGAGAGAGAGAGGGAGAAGGAGCGGGUAAUAACGAUGAUUUGGAUUUUAUAAUAUGUAUAUCGUAGGUUUCUGGGAUUAAAGUGACAUACCAUAGCUCGACGUUUAGUCACUAGCUGAGUGAAUCACGCGUCGCAAAAAAUCGCCGCAAGACGCUUUGCGUUAAGUAUACAUCCUCUCCGAAGACACGUAUAUGAAUUAAAAGAAGGGACGACACCAAUUCUCGGAGGAAAAAUGAUUCCGAGCAGCCGGCAGGAAGGGCAUUAAAAACUCAUCGUCCUCCCCCCCCCCCACCCCCCUAUACACACAAUCAUUAAAAGGAAUCACUCAGGCGUCCGCGCACGACACAAUAAUGUCAUCUUCUUCCUAUACGCUAUACAUGCCCCUCUCAAGAGAGACAUGAAAAUUUCCCCGUCUCGUAUCCUCUUCCUCAACAGCCGGAAAAGCGCAGAAAAGCCGCGGAGUAGUAGGCGAGAGAGACGUGUGCGUACACGUCCCUCGCUCGUAAAAAACAAUCUAAAAAUAGCGCAAGACGUGAGUCAAGAAGAAGAAGAAGAAGAAGUAAAUCUCUCUUUCUCUCUCUCUCUCUCUCUAACCAUCUCUCGCCAGCCCCCCUUUAAAGCUUCUUCUUUUUUUUUUCAAGCUGCGGCGCGUGUGCACACACGGAUAUCUGGGCGCGUGCCGUUGGCAAGUGUGGAGGGAAGGGGGGGAGGGGGGACGUGCAUUCCUAGGAGGCGAUGCGGCUCGAGCUUUACACGAGGGCGGGGACGAGGGUUUUCCUUAUUUUUCCUGGAAUAUCGGAUUGUUCGGGAUUAUAGUCACGGGGGGAAGAUGCAUAGGUGUGAUGCAGCAGCUUCCGCUCGGUGACUUCGAUGGCUCGCGGCGGAUAUAAUAUACUUGGAAGAAGCGCUGGAUGCCAAGUUGUAUAGGGAAACUGUUGCUCGAAGCUCGUUGGAUGUUCCUGGGGAAAUGACGUGGGUUUAUGUAAUGACUUUUUCUGCAGGUAUAGCGAGCUAUUUAUAAACAAAUUCGCGAUCGGCUUCUUGCAGCGCUGGAAGCUUACUUCCGUAUUGAAUAUAGAGAAGGCCGCAAGCUGUGAAUGCUUUAAAAAAAAAAAAAAAAAAAAAAAAAACAGCAUCAUCGUUAUAACCCCUUGAUAUUCUUUCAGACGAAAUUCCUUGAACCUGACAUUCCCGCCUCGCUCAUCCGCGAAAGCUCUGCAAGCUUCGUUUAAAACUCUCCGCUCUCAAAGCUCCUCUCUACCUCUCUCUGAUUCCCUCACUCCUCGGCUUUUUACAUACCCCCCUUCUCGCGUACAGUCGAAGCAAAAAGACGGGAAAAAUUGGCAAACGCGCUUGGCGUAGGGUCAACGCGUGCCUUUUCCCCCUCUCCAUUGCUCUGCCCCAAGAGUCUUUGUCCUAGGCGCGGUUCGCGCUAAAAUUAACUUUCGGCUAAGACCAAGACGACGACGCCGGCGACUCAGUCGGAGAAGAAGACGACGAAGAAGAAGAAGAAGCGAGAGCGAAACCGGAGCACGUGCGAGAGCGAGUGAGAGAGAGAGAGAGAGGACUGCCGCCUUGUCCUCCUUUCACCCUCCCGAAUGCAAGCGAGGCCCAUCAAUUAGCGGAUGCAGGAGUGCACGGAUCUCUCGACUCUCUGGCUUUUCGGAGAAGAGAGAGAGAGAGAGAGAGAGAGAGAGAGGAGAGGGCGAAGAUGCUUGGCGAGCUUGGUGUUGUUGACUGCAUACGCUCAUGUUUUUAACGUGUUUUUUUUUUCUUCUUUUAAUUUCGAAGGCUAUCGUUUUUUGUGCAGCAGUGCGAAGGAAUGGUGGAUACGAGCGAAGCGAUCGAUUUGAAGGGUCCCGACUGUUACGCGAGUAAAACGAAGAACGAUCUUCUACGCAAGCGAGCAAAGCCCCCGCUGAGAAUUGAGUUUGAAUCGUGGAAACGUGUGCUGACCCCCUAGAAGGUGUGAUCCACGCGAGGGAACGCCGUUAAUCACGCCUCGAACUACAAACUAUACAGCCAUCUGCUUUACGGACGUUUUCCUUCUAAAAUGUUGAGUUAAUUUUCAAAAUACGAAUAUCAAACGUCCUCGGUAUACGGCGCAAUGACGUUGGGCUGAAAAUCUUGACUAUACAGUGCAAGCUAUCCCACACACAUAUGCUUCUGCAAAGGAAGCAUCAGAGUGCGGGCGACUGGCUCUUCAAAGGCUUAUCGGUAUGCGCGUGUGCCGUCGCUUCAUGCAGGCAUGGAAGAAAGAAAUAAGUGGGCUUGAUUUGAUUAUCGCUCGAGUCUGAUGAUUCUGGAGAAUGGCCAGAUGGCUUUUCGAUGAUGAUGAUGAUGAUGCUGGUCCAUUAGGAUCAUCGGAAGCUUAUACGCUCUCUUUGUUUCAUUGGAUUCUUCUUGGAACAAUUGAUUUGUAAAUUCAUACUUUUUAUGGGUCUGACCCGCUGGUAUAGUUCCGACGUGAGAAGCUCCGAUGAAUGAUGAUUAAAAUUUGAAAAAUUCAAAAGCUACCUGCAGGAAACCGGAGUAUUAUUCAUCUACCAAGCGGAGAUUAUACUCGCCUAGCUGAACUGAAUUAUCGGGACUCGAUAGAGCUGAAGGAAUAACGAAAACUUCAAGAUCCACAACGCCGUCUCUUUUGAGAAAAAAAAAAAACGUAUAAUACGAA